AACGCACAUUGCGCCCUUUGGUAUUCCGAAGGGCAUGCCUGUUCGAGCGUCAUUAUCAACCAUCAAGCCUGGCUUGUCGUUGGACCUUUUUGUCGGUGAAACACACGACAGGUCCGAAAGAUAGUGACGGUGUCGUGUUUGACCCUAGAUGCAACGAGCUUUCAUAGCACGCAUUGAAGUGGUCGGUCGGCCCGGUCUUAACCAUCAUUUUUCUCAGGUUGACCUCGGAUCAGGUAGGAAUACCCGCUGAACUUAA
rnacentral:misc_RNA from 1 species